AUGUCCAGAGCCCUCCGCAUCCUAGAUAUGAAGGAGGAGGAUGUUUUCAGGUUCCUUGUGGUGGUACAUUCUGGAGACCACACUGUUUUCUACAUGAAAAUGUGUAUCCACAAAAGGAAAAGUGAUAAUCUUGCAUUUCAGAUCUGAAGAGGACCUGAGGGAAGCGUCUGUGGACAGUUGGUAGUUGUUGAUAAUCUUGCUGCUCACCAGAGCCCUUCCAAGUGCUGCCUGUCUCACUCCUGUGACCUUCAGUACCCCGAUGCAGGGAGCACCCCUGAAGCUGCAUCUUCAGGUCAUAACUAACACAAUGCUUCUCACAAAAGCACCAACCUGCCUUCAUCUCUCCGGGUCACACUGAUCCUUCUCUAUGUUGUGUGGACACUGCCAUGUUACACUGAAAAGGAGUCCACUCAAUGGGUCUGAUAUGGUAUGUGCUGGCCUGAGACGUUCUGCACAUAUGGUAUUUACUCCCUGUCAACAUCAAUAGGACGCUCUAGCCUGGCCUUUGCCAUAGAGAUUCUGAGGAUACUGAGAAGGAAGUAAAAAUGGCUGGUGAAAAGGCCAUGAAGAAGGAGACAUUUCUGGACAAAAGGACCACACCAGGUCCUGAGUUCAUGUCUGUCUUCAUGGGGUAGCAGGCUGGUCCAACUGUAUGCAAGGACCUACUAAAGACUACAGUGCUCAGCUGGCCACAGACGAAUCAUCGCCAGCUCCUAAUGUGCAGGCCACCAAAUGG
rnacentral:lncRNA from 1 species